UUUAUGCGGUCGACAGAAAGGGAAAGGCAGGGGAAAGCAUUUCUCUCAAAACCUAGCAAGGAAAAUCUUCAAUCAAGAGGCCUAGGGAUCGAAAUUGCUAUGCAUGAAUUAGAAAUCAUAACCUCCUAAGUAUUAUCAUCAACAAGAUCAUGUUUAGAUGGGAAAGCAUAGAAGGCAAACGGAAAGGAUAUGAGGAAGCAUGUACGAAACGGGCACUCGAGAUAAUAAGUCAUGAGAAUCAACGGGGUUGCUUGAAUCGGAAUCAUGAAAUAAGAAAAGAGCUCACAAGUCGUUCACCAAUAACCCGAUUGGGGUGGUAGAAAGGCGAAAGUGAUCAAGUCUUGGAAGCGGGUCAACGAUGUGAGGAUUUAGUGAUAUUUUGUUCACUAAGUAUAUGGGUUUCCUUAUUGGGACAAUUAGACUGAAUUAUUUGUAUUUUGGAGUUUAAGUUCAACGUUUGUUUUAGCAAUAUGCUAGUAUGUCAAUGUGGUAACGGGUUAUGUUUGUUUAAAAAAAAAGAGAACUUUGGUUGUUAA